GGGUAUAUACCGAUAGGUCUCGAUUGCUGGAAUGCAUCGAGAUUUAAAGCUCCGGCGCCUAAGGAUGGGUCUGCGGCCUAUCAGGUAGUAGUGGGUGUAGCGUACCUACUAGCCUACGACGGGUACGGGUUGUGAGAGCAAGAGCCCGGAGAUGGAUUCUGAGACACGAAUCCAGGCCCUACGGGGUGCAGCAGGCGCGAAAACUUUACAAUGCUGGCAACAGCGAUAAGGGAACCUCGAGUGCCAGGUUACAAAUCUGGCUGUCGAGAUGCCUAAAAAGCAUUUCAUAGCAAGGGCCGGGCAAGACCGGUGCCAGCCGCCGCGGUAACACCGGCGGCUCGAGUGGUAACCGUUAUUAUUGGGUCUAAAGGGUCUGUAGCCGGCCGGAUAAGUCUCUUGAGAAAUCUGGCAGCUUAACUGUCAGGCUUUCAGGAGAUACUGUCUGGCUCGAGGCCGGGAGAGGUGAGAGGUACUUCAGGGGUAGGGGUGAAAUCUUGUAAUCCUUGAAGGACCACCAGUGGCGAAGGCGUCUCACCAGAACGGACCUGACGGCAAGGGACGAAAGCUAGGGGCACGAACCGGAUUAGAUACCCGGGUAGUCCUAGCCGUAAACGAUACUCGCUAGGUGUCGGCCACGGUGCGACCGUUGUCGGUGCCGUAGGGAAGCCGUGAAGCGAGCCACCUGGGAAGUACGGCCGCAAGGCUGAAACUUAAAGGAAUUGGCGGGGGAGCACCACAACGGGUGGAGCUUG
rnacentral:rRNA from 1 species